UGCGUAGGCGGGCUAAUUAGUCAGUGGUGAAAACCUGCAGCUUAACUGUAGACUUGCCAUUGAUACUGUUAGUCUUGAGUACGGUCAAGGUAGGCGGAAUGUGUAAUGUAGCGGUGAAAUGCUUAGAUAUUACACAGAACACCGAUUGCGAAGGCAGCUUACUGGGCCAUUACUGACGCUGAGGCACGAAAGCGUGGGGAGCGAACAGGAUUAGAUACCCUUGGUAGUCC
rnacentral:rRNA from 1 species